rnacentral:rRNA from 1 species
GACGAACGCUGGCGGCGUGCUUAACACAUGCAAGUCGAACGGAAAGGCCUGCUUUCCCUUGUGGAUUGCGGGUACUCGAGUGGCGAACGGGUGAGUAACACGUGAGUGAUCUGCCCCCAACUUGGGUAUAAGCCUGGGAAACUGGGUCUAAUUCCCGAUAGGACUGCAGGGUGGUGCCUGUGGUGGAAAACGAUUUUCUAGUGGUUGGGGAUGAGCUCGCGGCCUAUCAGCUUGUUGGUGGGGUAAUGGCCUACCAAGGCGGCGACGGGUAGCCGGCCUGAGAGGGGGGACGGCCACAUUGGGACUGAGAUACGGCCCAGACGCCUACGGGAGGCAGCAGUGGGGAAUAUUGCACAAUGGGCGGAAGCCUGAUGCAGCGACGCCGCGUGGGGGAUGACGGCCUUCGGGUGGUAAACUCCUUUCGACCGCGAGGAAGCCACCUGGUUGGAAGGGUGGUGACGGUAGUGGUAGAAGAAGCACCGGCUAACUACGUG